ensembl:lncRNA
GUAUCAUAUCUCCUCAAGACUUUUCAAGAAAACGCUACAGGUGUACAACAACUCUUAGUCAAUCGGACGUAAUGGAUCACGUGGUCAGAAGAGUCGUUGCCCAGGAAAUGAUGCUUCGUCGGAAUGGAAACUUUAGUGCGGCCCACCACAACAGAGACACCAUGUGAGUGUGUGUAAACAGCACGAUGCCUUCUCAAAACCUCACAUUGAGUGCGGUCACACGCUCACCUCUAAGUUUUCCAUCCACAAGAUGUCAGACCAGUAUUUUGUCACCGGAUGUUUUUCAAGGUUGUAUCGGGGGGUCCUAAUUGUCUGGCCUAAAUAUAUGAUAGAGAUGGUACCCCCACCCUGAGUCUCUCUGAGCCAUCAAUUCUAGAUGCCCUGAUCAACCUGACCAUCAUCCCGUUCCCAUCAUCCCUGACCAUCAUCCUGUUCUACUCUUCCCCAACACUCUGUUCAACUAAAAGUUUCAUAGCUUGUUUGGGGGUGGUCCUAGCUAGUGAAAUACUCUUUGUUGAAAGCACGUACACACACAUGCACUCCUGCAGGAAGAGUGGGUGUCUGGGAGCAGCUGCAUGGGAGAGAUGUCGAAUGUGGUUUCCUCCCGAUGAACCUAUCCUCCCUAUGUCUUAUCAGUCAAACAGAGAGGUAAAUAUGUAGUAAAAGUAACCAGGUUGGUAACAUUCAUUAGUGAGAUCUCUGCCUGAGAAAUAAACAUUUUGCGAGAAUAAUUAUCAUUACAAAUCACAUUGUUUUACUUGAUAUAUAAUUAACAUUCAUC